ACACGUAUCCAAUACCAACCCCAGCGAACUGUUUACGUACCGUUUAUAUAAGGCGCAAGCCUUAUGUUUAACUUUAAACCCCUUUCUUGUCUGACUGAAACUUUGGCGUGCCAGUAAUUGGCCGCACCUUCAAUCAAAUA
rnacentral:misc_RNA from 1 species